rnacentral:rRNA from 1 species
CCCCCUAGAUGUUCUGGGCCGCACGCGCGCUACACUGAACAGUUCAACAAGUCUUAACCUUGGCCGAUAGGUCUGGGUAAUCUUUGAACGCUGUUCGUGAUUGGGAUAGACCUUUGCAAUUAUGGGUCUUCAACGAGGAAUUCCUAGUAAACGCAAGUCAUCAGCUUGCAUUGAUUACGUCCCUGCCCUUUGUACACACCGCCCGUCGCACCUACCGAUUGAAUGGUCCGGUGAAAUCUCGGGACGGCGGCUUGGUCGCUUGCGUCCGACUGCUGAAACUUGAUUAAACCAUAUCAUUUAGAGGAAGGUGAANUCGUAACA